rnacentral:tRNA from 1 species
GGCCCUUUAGCUCAGUGGUUAGAGCAGGCGACUCAUAAUCGCUUGGUCGCUGGUUCAAGUCGAGCAAGGGCCACCA